ACCUAGCCCUGAUGGUAGCGGUUACCCCGCAGCUGAUCCGGAUAGCUGCAGGCCCGAAGUGCUGGCAGGCGGCUGUGCGAGGAGUAUGAGCGGACAGCAGGUUCCCGG
rnacentral:misc_RNA from 1 species